UACGAGGGGGGCAAGCGUUGUUCGGAUUUAUUGGGCGUAAAGGGUGCGUAGGCGGUUUGGCAAGUCUUGUGUGAAAUCUUCGGGCUCAACCCGAAGCCUGCAUAAGAAACUGCCGGGCUUGAGUAUGGGAGAGGUGAGUGGAAUUUCCGGUGUAGCGGUGAAAUGCGUAGAUAUUCGCAAGAACACCAGUGGCGAAGGCGGCUCACUGGCCCGGUACUGACGCUGAGGUGCGAAAGCGUGGGGAGCAAACAGG
rnacentral:rRNA from 1 species